CUGAGACCCAGUGGAACUGUUGCCCUGGACGACGGCUUAUUUCCUUCUGGCUCUGACAACACUCAUCUGGAGGUGUGCCCCUUACGGAGGUACAUGGGUCGUGGUUGUACAGCUUUUGAAAGUGAGCGAAACGAAUCUCAACCAGCCUGGGAAAGAAAUAUUUUUGACUUGGAACAGGUACAAAGUGUUCUGCUGCCGACAAAGCGGUUCUGGAAUCCGCAGUGAGUGGCCACUCGAGAGCCAGGACCGAGCCUCGCCGCUAGGGGGAGUUCAGCUCGUAGGACCGGAAGUGCAAUUUAAUUUCUCAAACCUGGAAACCACAGAGGAGCUCAAAGUGUUUAUUGCAAGACUGGUGGAUCAUCCAGUUUCCCCUUUUGCAGAUGAAGAAACUGAGGUCCACCAAGGUUGGAGGACGUGUUGCCCAAUGUCACCCAGGACAUCAGGGCAGAACUGGGACUUGCCCUCAAGCUGAGUGUCCGUCCCAUCCCCGGGCAUCUCUGCCUUCUUGACACAGGAAAACCAAGUUUCUCGGCAGGGGGUGUGCACGAGAUAGUCCAGCCCGAGGCGGGUGCCAUAGAAGCCCUGCCCCCCACCGGCCCUGCUGGAAAGUUUCCAUUUCAGGGUUUGCCUUCUUCAUAGCAGUGUCUCAAACCCCUUAGUCCUUUAGACAAAAUAAUAAUGAUAACAAUCAUAACAAUAACAGUUGCAUAAGCCGAGCUGUGGUGGGGAACAGGAUUUACAAUUCGGAUUGUUUUCAGAAAACACCUCUGUAUUUAGCAAUAAUAUUAUGGAAGUAGCAAUAAAG
rnacentral:lncRNA from 1 species